rnacentral:rRNA from 1 species
UGCCUUCGGGAACUCUGACACAGGUGCUGCAUGGCUGUCGUCAGCUCGUGUCGUGAGAUGUUGGGUUAAGUCCCGUAACGAGCGCAACCCUUGUCCUUAGUUACCAGCACGUUAUGGUGGGCACUCUAAGGAGACUGCCGGUGACAAACCGGAGGAAGGUGGGGAUGACGUCAAGUCAUCAUGGCCUUACGGCCUGGGCUACACACGUGCUACAAUGGUCGGGUACAAAGGGUUGCCAAGCCGCGAGGUGGAGCUAAUCCCAUAAAAACCGAUCGUAGUCCGGAUCGCAGUCUGCAACUCGACUGCGUGAAGUCGGAAUCGCUAGCAAUCGUGAAUCAGAAUGUCACGGUGAAUACGUUCCCGGGCCUU